rnacentral:tmRNA from 1 species
GGGGACGUAAAGGUUUCGACAAGUUGUACUUUUAAAAACUGCAAGCCGAGUGGGACUGUCACUCGUUAAUUAACGGUCAACAUUUUACAUGCCAACAAAAACGUUGGUCUGGCCGGCGUGUCCGAUUAUAAUUUCGCAUUCGCUUAAGCCAGUGUCUGUUAAUUGCGUUUUUCGACCGCGUUAAUAAGGCAUAAACCAGUCGAAAUGCAGCCCAUUUCCUUGACUUAAGAAAUGGAGUCAAGACUUAUGAGUCUUACUUUAAAUCGUCCUAUCAGUAGGUAAGAUUUAGAGGACAUUAAAAAAACUGAUUAAGCUUGUAGACGUUUUUGAUUUUGCUUCUUGGACGAGGGUUCAAUUCCCUCCGUCUCCACCA